AUGGGAGGUAGCAAAAUCUGACAGGGUAGCACAAAUCGACAGAACACCGGACAGAGGGCCGUCUAUAUUUUUGUAUCGCGAAGAAUUCUCCCAAUCAAAAAUGUCAGACUUGUGGGAUGACUUGGAGAAUUUUGCUCGUGCCCCCUCUUCUUCCACAGCAGCG